rnacentral:rRNA from 1 species
ACAGAGGUGGCGACCGUUGUUCGGAAUCACUGGGCAUAAAGCGCGUGUAGGCGGCAAAGUAAGUCGGGUGUGAAAUCCCUCGGCCCAACCGAGGAAUUGCGCCCGAAACUACCUUGCUUGAGGACCAGAGGGGAGCCUGGAAUUCCUGGUGGAGCGGUGAAAUGCGUUGAUAUCAGGAGGAACACCGGCGGCGAAGGCGAGGCUCUGGCUGGUUACUGACGCUGAGACGCGAAAGCUGGGGGAGCAAACGGGA